AGUAACACGUGGGUAACCUGCCUUAUAGUGGGGGAUAGCCUUUCGAAAGGAAGAUUAAUACCGCAUAAGAUUGUAGUAUCGCAUGAUAUAGCAAUUAAAGGAGCAAUCCGCUAUAAGAUGGACCCGCGUCGCAUUAGCUAGUUGGUGAGGUAAUGGCUCACCAAGGCGACGACGCGUAGCCGACCUGAGAGGGUGAUCGGCCACAUUGGGACUGAGACACGGCCCAGACUCCUACGGGAGGCAGCAUG
rnacentral:rRNA from 1 species